rnacentral:rRNA from 1 species
AGUGAACGCUGGCGGUAGGCCUAACACAUGCAAGUCGAACGGCAGCACAGGAGAGCUUGCUCUCGGGGUGGCGAGUGGCGGACGGGUGAGGAAUACAUCGGAAUCUACUUUUUCGUGGGGGAUAACGUAGGGAAACUUACGCUAAUACCGCAUACGACCUACGGGUGAAAGCAGGGGAUCUUCGGACCUUGCGCGAUUGAAUGAGCCGAUGUCGGAUUAGCUAGUUGGCGGGGUAAAGGCCCACCAAGGCGACGAUCCGUAGCUGGUCUGAGAGGAUGAUCAGCCACACUGGGACUGGGACACGGUCCAGACUCCUACGGGAGGCAGCAGUGGGGAAUAUUGGACAAUGGGCGCAAGCCUGAUCCAGCCAUACCGCGUGGGUGAAGAAGGCCUUCGGGUUGUAAAGCCCUUUUGUUGGGAAAGAAAUCCAGCUGGUUAAUACCCGGUUGGGAUGACGGUACCCAAAGAAUAAGCACCGGCUAACUUCGUGCCAGCCGCCGCAGUAA